AGGCCCAAAAAAAAGCCUCCCGUACCUACUUAAAUGGAAACGGGAAGGAUAGUUACUCCAAAAUCUUCCAAACGAAACAUGACCACCGCAGCUGAAACCCGCAAUUGGCUAGAACUGCCGUUGGACGUGACGGCUUCGAUUCUCUCCCGGAUAGGUGCGAUUGAGAUCCUUAACAGCGCCCAAAACGUGUGUUCUCUGUGGCGGAACAUCUGCAAGGACCCAUUAAUGUGGAGAUCCAUUGAUAUGCACAACUUGGGUGAUUUAUGGGACAUGGACUAUGACCUUGCGAAGAUGUGUGUCCACGCUGUCGAUCGCAGCUGCGGUCACUUGCUUGAUAUCAAUGUCGAGUAUUUUGGUACUGAUGCACUUCUUCUUCAUAUCUCUGAGAGGUCUGUUCAUCUUAAGCGUCUUCGAAUAGUAUCAUGCUAUAACAUUUCAGAUGAAGGGUUAAGUGAAGCAGCUUUAAAGCUUCCAUUUCUGGAAGAGCUUGAAAUUUCAUACUGCUCCAUUUCGAAAGAUGCUCUGGAAACUAUUGGUCGCAGUUGCCCUCUCUUGAAAUCAUUCAAAUUCAAUGUUCAGGGAUGCAGACGCUUCCACUUGGAGUCUGAUGAUGAGGCACUAGCUAUUGCACAAACCAUGCCUGAAUUACGCCACCUCCAACUUUUUGGGAACAAGUUGACUAAUGAUGGUUUGCUGGCCAUUCUCAAUGGUUGUCCUCACCUUGAAUAUCUUGACUUACGGCAAUGUUUCAAUGUUAGUCUGGGAGGGAACUUGGAGAAAAGAUGUGUUGAACGCAUAAAAAAUUUGCGACGCCCUAAUGAUUCAACUCAUGAUUAUGAGUUCUAUACGGAAGUUCAUGAUACUGGGUCAUCCGAUGAAGAUUAUCCAUCUGGAAUUUCAGACAUUGACUUUAUGUCCGAUGAUUAUGAUGAUUAUUUCGAGUUCUCAGGUGACUCUGAUUAUGAUUUCGGUUAUGACUAUGAUGGUGUGCUUUUUGACUGAUGCCAUGAAGUGAAGCAGGGGAUACUCCUCCAGUGUCCAGGGUAGGGAAUCAGGAUGAAGAUGAAAAUGGGAGAGCUGCUGCAAAUUCAGUGAUGUUAUUGCAGUUGAUCAGGUCAAAUACUGCACUUUUGUGUUUAUUUUGUUGCAUGGUAGGUUGGCAUUUGUAUGAAAUGUCGUGGUCAUCGACGGUGACACAAACAGAUAUUUUAUCUUUUGAGGGACCUUUGCAGUUGUGUACAUUUUGUUUGCCAUACUCUACUAUGUAUAAUAUAAGUAUGUGGUAGAAAUAGAUGUUUGUCGAGUUUUAGCUGCGUAUGUAAGGGUGCCAUAGCUCUGCCCAUUUGUGGCUGUGGAUAAUGAUGAAUGAAAUGAAGGGGCAUAGUCGAUUCUAACA